GCAACAUUCACGUCUGUCUGCCACACUGGCCUGUCAGUGACGACACUGUACUACACCUCGCCAGCGCUCAGGCUCUCAACACUGGGAAAGAUGGAGAUGCACUGCUGCAUGAGUUUGCUGCUCAAUAUGUUGAAGCCAUGAAGGACAUGAAGGGCAGGAAGCCAGGUCCCACCAGCAUCCUUGGAACUUCACAGCUGAGACCCGGAUAGCCGUUGGGUUUCCAGAUUCCCUUUAACCCGAAAGGAGUUGGAUGUGGUG